GUGCUUGCUUCAGCAGCAUGUGGACUAAAAUCAGAAAGAUACAGAAAAGAUUAGCACGGCCCCUACACAAAAAUAACAUGUCUGUCAUUUGUGAAGCAUUUCAUCCUUUU
ensembl:snRNA U6 U6 spliceosomal RNA